rnacentral:rRNA from 1 species
GACGAACCGUGCGAACGUUGUUCGGAAUCACUGGGCUUAAAGGGCGCGUAGGCGGGCUCGCCAGUCAGGGGUGAAAUCCCGCGGCUCAACCGUGGAAGUGCCUCUGAUACUGCGAGUCUCGAGGGAGGUAGGGGCGUGCGGAACUUCCGGUGGAGCGGUGAAAUGCGUAGAUAUCGGAAGGAACACCGGUGGCGAAAGCGGCGCGCUGGACCUCUUCUGACGCUGAGGCGCGAAAGCCAGGGGAGCAAAGCGGG